AUUGAACGCUGGCGGCGUGCCUAAUACAUGCAAGUCGAGCGCAGGAAAUCGACGGAACCCUUCGGGGGGAAGUCGACGGAAUGAGCGGCGGACGGGUGAGUAACACGUAAAGAACCUGCCCUCAGGUCUGGGAUAACCACGAGAAAUCGGGGCUAAUACCGGAUGGGUCAUCGGACCGCAUGGUCCGAGGAUGAAAGGCGCUCCGGCGUCGCCUGGGGAUGGCUUUGCGGUGCAUUAGCUAGUUGGUGGGGUAAUGGCCCACCAAGGCGACGAUGCAUAGCCGACCUGAGAGGGUGAUCGGCCACACUGGGACUGAGACACGGCCCAGACUCCUACGGGAGGCAGCAGUGGGGAAUCUUCCACAAUGGACGAAAGUCUGAUGGGGCAACGCCGCGUGAACGAUGAAGGCCUUCGGGUCGUAAAGUUCUGUUGUAAGGGAAGAACAAGUGCCGCAGGCAAUGGCGGCACCUUGACGGUACCUUGCGAGAAAGCCACGGCUAACUACGUGCCAGCCGCCGCGGUAAAAC
rnacentral:rRNA from 1 species